UGGGAUUAAAGGCAUGCACUACGAUGUAU
rnacentral:piRNA from 1 species